rnacentral:lncRNA from 1 species
GUUUUCAGAGUUCUAUCUAUCUCUCGAACCUAAAACCCAUUCUUUGCGGCCGUUUUCGAAUGAAGUAGUGAACCAAACGUAAUUCAAAUCAAAUCUCGGAUAUCUGGCAUUACACAUGAUCUUGAUGGAAUGAAAUCUUGUUGAAGGUACGUUGUUCUUGAAUUAAUCUUGUUCUUGAAUCAAUUAUGUUUUUGAAUCAGUAAUUUUAAUUCAAACUACAGUUUCAAUCGAUGAGAAGUAUUAAUUGUUUUCUUUCUUAAUUAUUAUAUAUAUCCCAAGUUUCUUUCUUUUCUUAUUAUUCUUGUUCAUAAUUGCUUUUAUACAAAUUGGAAUUUCUUUAAUUCAAGACAACAGAUGCCGUUAGGGAUAUAAGAGAUCCAAAACAUUCUUAUACUUUAAAACAUCAACAACUUAGUGUGCUCUCUGAAGAAUCCAUCACAGUUGAUGAGAGGCUUGGUCGUAUACUGUAUGUUUAUUGAUCUGCGUGUUCAAUUUCAAUUUUAGAGUUUAAAUUUCCAACAAUCUCUUGAAGGCCAAAGCCAAUCAGUUGGGCAAAAAUUUCUGGUUUUUUGUUAGCCACUUGAUAUCUUUUACAUCUUUCAAUGCACAAAAUGUUUGAGAAAUUGUGUGAGUAAGAAUCUUGUUUUAUGUUUUACAGAAAGAAGAGGGCUUCACAGUUCAUCACAAGUGAUAUAGGUGUUUAUUUUUUCUACACCCCCAAUUGAUUGAAUAGGUUAUGAACUUAGAUCAAGUAAAAAUGUGGGUAAUUUUUUUGAAAGCAUUAGGGAAAUUAUAACUUGGAAUUUGAAGGGGUCUUUAAUCAAUGAUUUAUAGCUUUUACAUGUUUCCAAACACCUCAUGUUAUAAGAUAUCAUUAUACUGUCUCAAUGUUUGAUCUGGUUCUUGUUAAUGUGGUACAUGAUAUUUUUUUCCAUAUUACAGGUUUUGAAACUUGUGUUCGAUCCUCGUCAAAUGUCUUGUAGCUAAGUGAGCAACUAAGCACAGACCAUUUAAGGUAAAUGUUGUUCGAAUAUAAUAGUCCAGUUUUAAAUAUUCACUACUCAUAUCAUUCCAUUUUUUAUAACAAUUACUUGGUUGAAUUAUUGAGGAUUUGAGUUUUUGCUACUGUUGGAGUGUUGGUGGAGUCCCAGUGUAUUUAUCUAAUUAUGUUUGGGUAUUGCACAACACUGGUGAUCUUAGCAAUCGACAGAAGGUGCAGAAGAAGGCAAUGCCUAUUGUUGCAAAGAGAGUUUAGGUGUUGCGGUCAAGCCAAGAGGGAAAAGAAAUGACGUGUUGGAAGGAAAGCAUGGAUCUGGAUUAUGGAAUCAGUUUUGAUGUGGCAGUAAUUUUUUUUUUGACACAUUCUCUGAGUUGUUCCAACUGUUUAAUUACUUAGAGGACUAUAGAAUCGGUUUUGACUUUCGAUGUUAAUUCUUGACUUCUUGUUGUGGCAGUAAACUUGUGUUUGAGAUAUAAUCAAAGUUCUUCAAUAUAUUUAAUUACUUAUACUAGAAUGGAAUUUUUUUUCA